rnacentral:rRNA from 1 species
GAUGAACGCUGGCGGCGUGCCUAAUACAUGCAAGUCGAGCGAACGGACGAGAAGCUUGCUUCUCUGAUGUUAGCGGCGGACGUGUGAGUAACACGUGGAUAACCUACCUAUAAGACUGGGAUAACUUCGGGAAACCGGAGCUAAUACCGGAUAAUAUUUUGAACCGCAUGGUUCAAAAGUGAAAGACGGUCUUGCUGUCACUUAUAGAUGGAUCCGCGCUGCAUUAGCUAGUUGGUAAGGUAACGGCUUACCAAGGCAACGAUGCAUAGCCUACCUGAGAGGGUGAUCGGCCACACUGGAACUGAGACACGGUCCAGACUCCUACGGGAGGCAGCAGUAGGGAAUCUUCCGCAAUGGGCGAAAGCCUGACGGAGCAACGCCGCGUGAGUGAUGAAGGUCUUCGGAUCGUAAAACUCUGUUAUUAGGGAAGAACAUAUGUGUAAGUAACUGUGCACAUCUUGACGGUACCUAAUCAGAAAGCCACGGCUAACUACGUG